rnacentral:rRNA from 1 species
CCUACGGGAGGCAGCAGUGGGGAAUAUUGGACAAUGGGCGAAAGCCUGAUCCAGCAAUGCCGCGUGAGUGAUGAAGGCCUUAGGGUUGUAAAGCUCUUUUACCAGGGAUGAUAAUGACAGUACCUGGAGAAUAAGCUCCGGCUAACUCCGUGCCAGCAGCCGCGGUAAUACGGAGGGAGCUAGCGUUGUUCGGAAUUACUGGGCGUAAAGCGUACGUAGGCGGUUAUUCAAGUCAGAGGUGAAAGCCUGGAGCUCAACUCCAGAACUGCCUUUGAAACUAGAUAGCUAGAAUCUUGGAGAGGUGAGUGGAAUUCCGAGUGUAGAGGUGAAAUUCGUAGAUAUUCGGAAGAACACCAGUGGCGAAGGCGACUCACUGGACAAGUAUUGACGCUGAGGUACGAAAGCGUGGGGAGCAAACAGGAUUAGAUACCCUGGUAGUCCACGCCGUAAACGAUGAUAACUAGCUGUUCGGGCUCUACGAGCUUGAGUGGCGCAGCUAACGCAUUAAGUUAUCCGCCUGGGGAGUACGGUCGCAAGAUUAAAACUUAAAUGAAUUGACGGCNGAGACGNGCGAGACGACACGAGGGAGAG